rnacentral:rRNA from 1 species
UAUGGCUCAGGACGAACGCUGGCGGCGUGCCUAACACAUGCAAGUCGAGCGAGGAGAUCCUUCGGGAUGAUCCUAGCGGCGGACGGGUGAGUAACACGUGGGCAACCUGCCUCAUAGAGAGGAAUAGCCUUCCGAAAGGGAGAUUAAUACCUCAUAACAUUGCAGUUUCGCAUGGAACAGCAAUUAAAGGAGUAAUCCGCUAUGAGAUGGGCCCGCGGCGCAUUAGCUAGUUGGUGAGGUAACGGCUCACCAAGGCGACGAUGCGUAGCCGACCUGAGAGGGUGAUCGGCCACAUUGGGACUGAGACACGGCCCAGACUCCUACGGGAGGCAGCAGUGGGGAAUAUUGCACAAUGGGGGAAACCCUGAUGCAAGCAACGCCGCGUGAGUGAUGACGGCCUUCGGGUUGUAAAGCUCUGUCUUCAGGGACGAUAAUGACGGUACCUGAGGAGGAAGCCACGGCUAACUACGUGCCAGCAGCGGC